rnacentral:rRNA from 1 species
GAUGAACGCUGGCGGCGUGCCUAAUACAUGCAAGUCGAGCGAACGGACGAGAAGCUUGCUUCUCUGAUGUUAGCGGCGGACGGGUGAGUAACACGUGGAUACCCUACCUUUAAGACUGGGAUAACUUCGGGAAACCGGAGCUAAUACCGGAUAAUAUUUUGAACCGCAUGGUUCAAAAGUGAAAGACGGUCUUGCUGUCACUUAUAGAUGGUUCCGCGCUGCAUUAGCUAGUUGGUAAGGUAACGGCUUACCAAGGCAACGAUGCAUAGCCGACCUGAGAGGGUGAUCGGCCACACUGGGACUGAGACACGGUCCAGACUCCUACGGGAGGCAGCAGUAGGGAAUCUUCCGCAAUGGGCGAAAGCCUGACGGAGCGACGCCGCGUGAGUGAUGAAGGUCUUCGGAUCGUAAAACUCUGUUAUUAGGGAAGAACAUAUGUGUAAGUAACUGUGCACAUCUUGACGGUACCUAAGCAGAAAGCCACGGCUAACUACGU